AGAUACCCAAAAGGAACCAUAUAUUUCCAACAUUUCGAUAUAAGGGAAUCCGGACGUUGCCUCUUGGUGUGAACGCCUGACCUUGUUAGGAAUCCUAAUAAAAGGCACAGGACACCCACCUGUACAAACAGGGAAUACAUAUCGCCUUUUGGGUUUACA
rnacentral:other from 1 species